AGGCCAAUGCGAGCUAGAGUGAUGAAUAGAAGCUGUCCUUCAGGAGUCUUAGCCUCAGAUGAACUCAAACACUGCCAGUGAAAAAUAACCUGACCUCCCUUUCCUCCUUCUCUACCAUCUCCUGUAGGUGCUUUCCAUUACUGGACUCAACAAGAAGUAAAGGGCACAGGAGGCACAUACCACGCAAUUGUACAGGGUUGGCUGGAUUUAGCUGGGCAGUCCUUCACUAACUGACACUCUAUUUGGGAUGA
rnacentral:lncRNA from 1 species